rnacentral:rRNA from 1 species
CGGAGAGUUUGAUCCUGGCUCAGAACGAACGCUGGCGGCGUGCCUAACACAUGCAAGUCGAACGGAUUUUACCUUCGGGUAAAGUUAGUGGCGCACGGGUGAGUAACGCGUGGGUAUCUGCCUAUCUGUGGGGGACAACUUGGAGAAAUCCAAGCUAAUACCGCAUACGCUCUACGGAGGAAAGCGGGGGAUCUUCGGACCUCGCGCAGAUAGAUGAGCCCGCGUCAGAUUAGCUAGUUGGUGAGGUAAUGGCUCACCAAGGCGAUGAUCUGUAACUGGUUUGAGAGGAUGAUCAGUCACACUGGAACUGAGACACGGUCCAGACUCCUACGGGAGGCAGCAGUGGGGAAUAUUGCACAAUGGGCGAAAGCCUGAUGCAGCGACGCCGCGUGCGGGAAGAAGGCCUUAGGGUUGUAAACCGCUUUCAAUUGGGAAGAAGGGAUGAGUACUAAUAUUGCUCUGACUUGACGGUACCUUUAGAAGAAGCACCGGCUAAUUUCGUGCCAGCAGCCGCGGUAAUACGAAAGGUGCAAGCGUUGUUCGGAUUUACU